rnacentral:tRNA from 1 species
GGGAAUGUGGCUUAGUGGUAGAGUGCUUGCCUUGCAUGCAUGAAGCCCUGGGUUCGAUUCCUCAGUACUA